rnacentral:rRNA from 1 species
UUUCCCAGUCGCAUGCCCUAGACCCGAAGCGAGGUGAUCUAACCAUGAGCAGGUUGAAGCGCAGGUAAGACUGCGUGGAGGACCGAACCCACCAAUGUUGAAAAAUUGGGGGAUGACUUGUGGUUAGGGGUGAAAGGCCAAUCAAACUUCGUUAUAGCUGGUUCUCUCCGAAAUGCAUUUAGGUGCAGCGUCGCGUAUUUCUUAGUGGAGGUAGAGCACUGACUUGCCGAGGGGCCCUAAAAGGUUACCAACGUAAAUCAAACUCCGAAUGCCAUUAAGUAAAGCGCGGCAGUGAGACUGUGGGGGAUAAGCUUCAUAGUCGAGAGGGAGACAACCCAGACCAACAACUAAGGUCCCAAAGAGUGUGCUAAGUGGUAAAGGAUGUGGAGUCGCAUUGACAACCAGGAUGUUGGCUUAGAAGCAGCCACCAUUAAAAGAGUGCGUAAUAGCUCACUGGUCAAGUAAUUCCGCGCCGACAAUUUAACGGGGCUCAAGCACAUCACCGAAGUUAUGGCAUCAAAUCAUGUAUCAGGCCUUCGUGGUCCAGAUGAUUUGUUGGGUAGGAGAGCGUCGUGUGGCUAGCGAAGCGGUGGUGAAAACCAACCGUGGAAGCUACACGAGUGAAAAUGCAGACAUGAGUAGCGAAUGACAGGUGAGAAACCUGUCCGCCGAAUGACCAAGGGUUCCAGAGUCAAGCUAAUCUGCUCUGGGUAAGUCGGGGCCUAAGACGAGGCCGACAGGCGUAGUCGAUGGACAACGGGUUGAUAUUCCCGUACCGGUUUUGUUGCGCCAAUACUGAAACCAAUAAUGCUAAGCGUUUGAACCUGGGAGCAAUCUCAGCGGAAGACGCGACCCUGUUGGCUGUAGGUAAGCAAAGGAGUGACGCAGGAAGGUAGCCCAUCCCGGGCGAUGGUUGUCCCGGGGUAAGGAUGUAGGUGGGUGUGUAGGUAAAUCCGCACACUAAUACUGAGAUCUGACGCCGAGGCGUAAGCCGAAGUGGGUGAUCCUAUGCUGCCGAGAAAAGCUUCUAGCAAGUGACAAAUCCGCCCGUACCCGAAACCGACUCAGGUGGUCAAGUAGAGAAUACUAAGGCGAUCGAGCAAACCGUAGUUAAGGAACUCGGCAAAAUGCCCCCGUAACUUCGGGAGAAGGGGGGCCUUGAAGUGUGAAAGGAUUUACUCCCCAAGCACAUCAUGGCCGCAGAAACAAGGCCCAAGCGACUGUUUAACAAAAACACAGGUCCGUGCGAAGUAGCAAUACGAUGUAUACGGACUGACGCCUGCCCGGUGCUGGAAGGUCAAGGGGACGGGUUAAGGAGUAAUCCUGAAGCUCAGAACUUAAGCCCCAGUAAACGGCGGUGGUAACUAUAACCAUCCUAAGGUAGCGAAAUUCCUUGUCGGGUAAGUUCCGACCUGCACGAAUGGCGUAACGACUUGGGCGCUGUCUCAACUAUGGACUCGGCGAAAUUGCAGUACGAGUAAAGAUGCUCGUUACGCGUGGAAGGACGGAAAGACCCCGGGACCUUUACUAUAACUUGGUAUUGGCGGUCGAUUCGGAUUGUGUAGCAUAGGUGGGAGACUUCGAAGCAGGGACGCCAGUUCUUGUGGAGUCGAAAAUUGAAAUACCACUCUGUUCGUAUUGGCUGUCUAACCUCGAUCCAUAAUCUGGAUCAGGGACAGUGCCUGGCGGGUAGUUUAACUGGGGCGGUUGCCUCCCAAAAAGUAACGGAGGCGCUCAAAGGUUCCCUCAGCCUGGUUGGUAAUCAGG